CCGCCCGUGAGCGCAGGAGCCCCCGGCGGGCCCCACCCUGGCUGUGCGUGUAGUAGAUCGUGCCGGCCUGAGCCCCCGCUCCGCCCCCCCGCGACUAGACAUGUGGAUGUGGCAGGCAAGCUGUCAAUUUUUAGGUUAAAAGUGGCUCUCGGAGAGAUGGUCCCCUGCAUGCCAGAAGUAUCAGCCAAGGCCUCGGUGUAGGUAGAAGAGAUUCCCACCUGCAGGAUCUUCAACGGACAUUUUUGGAAUUACAAUACCCGCCUGGUAACAGAUCAACAAAGCCAGAGUGAUAUCAAGAGAUAACCUGCUGCAAGGUUCAUUGACUGCUGGAAGAUGCCCCAAUGUUAUAUCCCAUCAAGCAUCAGCAAUGUCCUUCUCUCUACAUCAGAGGAACAGACCCCGUUCGAUGGAGGCUUGUUGCUGCCCAAGAUCACCCUGAAGUAAAAGCCCCAAUGACCAAGGAAACAUCCAAGUAUUUUUUAAUCCAGACAGUGACUCACCUAUCACCGUUACCUACAACACUUGAAAAACAGGCGACUUACAGGCUCUGCUCACCUGCUACAGUGACCACAUGUGCAUCCUGCCUUUAUUUGCAUACAUCCAUUUACUUUAGCAAUGAACCCAGGGACCAGCAUCUGGAUAAAUCACACAUUUAGCUGUACAUGUCCUGAAUGUAACCUGAGAAUUAUUCAACAUGUGUCAAGACAAAUAAAGUAUACAUUGUACACAGAUUA